GUCCUCUUGUUGUUUAUAUGAGGUCAGACCUGCCCGGUGAAUAAGUUUUUAACGGCCGCGGUAUAUUGACUGUGCAAAGGUAGCAUAAUCAUUAGUCUUUUAAUAGGAGGCUGGUAUGAAGGGUUUAACGAGGUGUUAACUGUCUCAUUUAAUUUAGUAUUAAAAUUUAGCUUUUCAGUCAAAAGGCUGAAAUAUUAUUGGGGGACGAGAAGACCCUAUAGAGCUUUAUAAUUUAAGUUAUAUAUAAUUGUGGUUAUAUAAUUAUUAUUUAUAGUUUUAAUUAUUUUGUUGGGGUGACAAAAAUAUAUAAUUAACUUUUUGAUGUAAAUAACAUUGAUUUAUGUUUAUUAGAUCCAAUUAUUAUUGAUUGUUAGAACAAGUUACCUUAGGGAUAACAGCGUAAUCUUCCUCCAGAGUUCAUAUUUACGGGGAGGCUUGCGACCUCGAUGUUGGAUUAAGAUAAUAAUUAGGUGCAUCCGCUUAAUAUAUAGGUCUGUUCGACCUUUAAAUUCUU
rnacentral:rRNA from 1 species